CAGAACUCAAGUCAGUGCUUGUGUUUGGGUAAUAUUGAUGACAAAUGUAUGCAUUUAGCAAGUCAUGAAAAAAUGAUGUGAUAUGUCUGUUGAAAAACUCACAACCAAGACAACCCCAAAGAGAAGCACUUAUGAACACAAGAACCACCAGUGUCUCCAUUUGAGGUGAUCUGAGAUUGACUCCCACAAAAUAUGGCAUCCAAUACAUUCUGUUGUUUUUGUCAAUUAAAACUGCCCCAACAAGUAGCACUUACUGAAUUCAACAGUCAAGUCAAUGCUCAUGUUAAGGUAAUACUAUUGACUUGCAAAAAUGGUCAAAAAAGUAUUCUUCACCAAGUAACAAAUAAUCUAGUCCUGGUGAAAUCUUUAAAGGGAACCUGGGUCAGCAAAACUACCCCAACAAGAAGCACUUACUGCAUUCAGAACUCAAGUCAGUGCUUGUGUUUGGGUAAUAUUGAUGACAAAUGUAUGCAUUUAGCAAGUCAU